rnacentral:rRNA from 1 species
UACAGAGGUCUCAAGCGUUGUUCGGAUUCAUUGGGCGUAAAGGGUGCGUAGGUGGCGCGCUAAGUCAGGUGUGAAAUUUCGGAGCUUAACUCCGAAACUGCAUUUGAUACUGCCGUGCUUGAGGACUGGAGGGGAGACUGGAAUUUACGGUGUAGCGGUGAAAUGCGUAGAUAUCGUAAGGAAGACCAGUGGCGAAGGCGGGUCUCUGGACAGUUCCUGACGCUGAGGCACGAAGGUCAGGGGAGCAAACGGG